rnacentral:lncRNA from 1 species
AAAAUCCACUAAAAAUACUUAAGUACAAGUGAUUUUAACCAAAAUAUAUGACUCAAUUUAUCGAAUUUCCGUUGUUGAUGGUCUUCGCCUGUGACGCCCCAACUUCCUAGGGGUUCACCCAUCCUAGGACUACUUCCGUCCUAGCACGCUUAACUCUCUUAACCUCUUGGGCCUUGCCACCACCCAAAAUGCUUAAGCCGGGUUAAGACUUUAGCCCUAUUAUAUCUUAUAUAUAGGGCUAUCUGGGGUCUCACAAUCUCCCCUCCUUUAAGCCCUGACGUCCUCGUCAGGCUCAGACUCACAAGUACCAGGCGAUGUGAGACUCGUCUCGCUAGCCCGUCAUCCAGACCCUGGCUCAGCCGAGACUCAUCUCACACUUCCGGCUGGUAAUUGGCUCUGAUACCAUCUGUGACACCCCAACUUCCCAGGGGGUCACCCAUUCUAGGACUACUCCCGUCCUAGCACGCUUAACUCUCUUAACCUCUUGGGCCUUGCCACCACCCAAAAUGCUUAAGCCGGGUUAAGAGUUUAGCACUAUUAUAUCUUAUAUAUAGGGCUAUCGGGGGUCUCACAUCGCCGGUCCUUGAUCGAUAGGAAUCCUCCAAUCGACCUCGCUGCAACUCCUUGCUGCGUCAACGCCUCAACUCUUUGAAGCGUCCACUGAAUCCUCGGCUUCACGCAAGUCCACGCGCCGAACCUCCUUCGGGACUUUGUAGAAUUGAUGAUUUAUGGUGAUUGAGACUUAGAAUACCAUAAGCAAUAAGG